CUCUAAAAGCACUCUGUGUGGGGAAGAUGAGAGCCAGAGCAAAGCUCAGAGGAACCAACCUGGACCUGGAUCUGGAUCUGGACCUGGAUCUGGAUCCAGCUGUGUGUCCUUCAGGAGUGACGACUCAAAGGGUUUACCUCCUAACUUCAAAUCCACCAGUUCAGGAGUGGAACAGUUCCAACAGAGAUCUGGAUCUGGAUCUGGAUCCAGCUGUGUGUCCAAAAGGAGUGAUGACUCAAAGGGUCUUCCUCCAAACUUCAAGUCCAUCAGUCCAGCAGUGGAACAGUAAGUG